ensembl:misc_RNA
UUGAAGAAUUAAGCCCUGGUCAUCACAGAAUGAGCACAGCCUGGGCAGCUGCAUAUCAAGUUCACCCACACUGCCACACCAAUAUGCCUCAACCCUUUCCUAAGGGAUCACCCCAGGGAGAGAGGGCACCCAGCUCUCUGUCUCUGUACCUGU